rnacentral:rRNA from 1 species
ACGCACGCUGGCGGCGUGCUUCACACCUGCCAGUCGAACGGUGAAGCGCCUUCCUUUUUGGUGGGUGUGGAUGAGUGGCGAACGGGUGAGUAACACGUGAGUAACCUGCCCCCUUCUUCUGGAUAACCGCAUGAAAGUGUGGCUAAUACGGGAUAUUCUGGGUCUGUCGCAUGAUGGGUCUGGGAAAGAUAUUGUUUCGGUGGGGGAUGGGCUCGCGGCCUAUCAGCUUGUUGGUGGGGUGAUGGCCUACCAAGGCGGUGACGGGUAGCCGGCCUGAGAGGGUGGACGGUCACACUGGGACUGAGACACGGCCCAGACUCCGACGGGAGGCAGCAGUGGGGAAUAGUGCACAAUGGGCGCAAGCCUGAUGCAGCGACGCCGCGUGAGGGAUGGAGGCCUUCGGGUUGUGAACCUCUUUCGCCAGUGAAGCAGGCCUGCCUCGUUUGUGGGUGGGUUGACGGUAGCUGGAUAAGAAGCGCCGGCUAACUACGUG